GGAGUCCCCCUGCUGGCACUUCUGGGCGCACCGCUGACACUUCCAGAUCCCGUGUGCAGGCGGGGGAACAACCCUGAACGUCGCUUAAUAGGACUCCUGGACUGGUUCUUGGCUGUUGCUGCUGCAACAGGAGGCUGAAAAACAAACCAGGCCAAAUUAAAAAGAUCAAGAUCUUCUCAACAAUCUCUAUUCAUUUGCAGCCACCAUGGCAACUGCUCAAGACAACUGUUUCCAGGCUCCCUGGGAUCCCUCCACUGUGAUGCUUCUUCUGGCUCCCCACCAUGGUUUCCAUCGAAUGACUGCGGACACGAAUCGCUCUCUG